GAACCUAGUGCAAUUGGGCCUUUGCUGUUGCCCAGCUUUUCACAGCUCCAGAAACUGACCCUCAUCCACUGGAAGUCGCAGGUGCAUGCAGUUUUGAAGGUGAGAGCUAGAAGUUGGCCUGCAUACCAGCUGUGUACUUGGAGGGAGUACCCAGUGCUGCCCCACAGCAUGCCCACCUGCCUGCUUGGAUCUCUUUUCCUGUUUUCAUCUCUGGUAGGGGGUGGUGGGAGGUAGGGCACCCAGGUAGGCCUCACUUUGAAGAAUGCAGGUCAUAACAGGGGUCAUAGAGUGGGUUGGCAUGGCCAUCAUUGUCUUUCCUGUGGACAUUCACCUACCUUACCCCCAACCCAGGCGGUCUUUAUUUUCCCACAGCUGGUCAGUGAGUUCUGCCCUCGGCUCACCUUUCUCAAGCUUUCAGACUGCCACAGUGUGACCACGGAUGCUCUCGUCAUGCUAGCCAAAGCCUGCCACCAGCUCUACAGCCUGGAUCUACAACACUCCAUGGUGAGCCCUGUGUCCCAAGGGACUCCGAAGAAGCCUAGGUAGAGGUGACAAGUAGCUCUGUGUUGGGUCCCCAGGUGGAGUCCACAGCUGUGGUGAGCUUUCUGGAGGAGGCUGGACCCCGAAUGCGCAGGCUGUGGCUGACCUAUAGUUUCCAGACAACAGCCAUCUUGGGUGCACUACUGGUAGGCUGGUGACGGGCAGGAGCAGAGCCAAAUGCUAAACGGGGGAGUGCCAGGCUGGUGACCCAGGUAUACUCUACCACUCCUGCAGGGUAGCUGCUGCCCCAAGCUCCAGGUCCUGGAGCUAAGCACCGGCCUCAACCGCAACAACACUCCUCUGCUGCUGCCUAUUGAGGUUCUUCAGAAAGGCUGUCCCCAGCUGCAGGUACCUGAUGACUUGCUUCUUACACCUGCCACCCUAUCCCCACCUGCAGCCUGAGCCUUGUCCCCAGGUACUGCGGCUGCUGAAUUUGAUGUGGCUGCCCAAGCCUUCUGGGCGAGGGGCAGCUCUGGGACCAGGCUUCCCCCACCUUGAGGAGCUCUGCCUCGCCAGCUCCACUUGCAACUUUGUGAGCAACGAUGUCCUGAGUCGCCUGCUCCAUGGCUCCCCCAACUUGCGCCUGCUGGAUCUUCGUGGCUGUGCCCGCAUCACGCCUGCUGGUCUGCGUGAUCUGCCAUGUAAAGGUCAGCUGUCCUGUUUGGUGGCUGGGCAGGUGGGAUGUGGGGACCCUUGCUUCUCCUGUGGCCAACACCAUUCCUGUCACCUCAGAGCUGGAGCAGCUGCACUGGGGCCUGUAUGGUGUGUCUGACCGGCUGUCUCUAGCUAAGGAGGGCAGCACCCUGUUGACUCAGAAGUGGCAUCACACCCUGCGGGAACUGGACUUGAGUGGCCAGGGCUUCAGUGAAAAGGACCUGGAGCAAGCCUUAGCUGCCUUCUCUGGCACCCAUGGAGGCGCCCACCCAGCCCUGUGCUCCCUUAACCUCAGGGGUACCCGGGUUACAGCAAGCACGAUCAGGUUAGCACCCAUCCCCCAGGCCCUUGAAGCUAGUACUGCUUGUGGCCCAGAGCUGGUGUGCCACCUUGCUCAGUACCCCUGAGGUCUGGGAGGGAGUGGAUACUUGGCCUUGGGAACACUAAGGGGGCUGGGUUUGAGCCUAGUUAGCUGUGGGUAGUAGGCCAGGGGUAGAGCAUAGGCAAACAGGGAUCCCUGGCUGAGCCCAGCCUUCUGGGCCUGCAUUUUCCUGGCAGCUGCUUACUUUCCCAUGACUUGCCCUACCCACAGCUCUAUGAUCAGUAGCUGCCCUGGCCUGCUAUACCUCAACCUGGAAUCCUGCCGCUGCCUCCCCAGGGGCCUGAAGCGUGCCUACCGAGGCCUAGAGGAAGUCCAGUGGUGUCUGGAGCAGCUACUCACCAGCCCCUCCUCCUCCAGCUAGGCAGUUCCAGCUCUGCCUGUACCCUUUCCCAGUUUGGGAUGUUUAAACAUUUUGUUACAGUAAAAUAUUUUUAGGAA
rnacentral:lncRNA from 1 species